UGAGCCAAGUUUAGGGUUUUCUCAAAACCCAAGCAGUAUUGAACUGAAGAGUUUGAUCAUGGCUCAGAUUGAACGCUGGCGGCAGGCCUAACACAUGCAAGUCGAGCGGAUGAAGGGAGC
rnacentral:rRNA from 1 species